GAUGAAGAACGUAGCCAAAUGCGAUAAGUAGUGUGAAUUGCAGAAUUCAGUGAAUCAUCGAAUCUUUGAACGCACAUUGCGCCCUUUGGUAUUCCUUAGGGCAUGCCUGUUCGAGCGUCAUUUAAACCUUCAAGCUAAGCUUGGUGUUGGGUGACUGUCCGCCUCACGGCGGACUCGCCUCAAAAUUAUUGGCGGCCGGUACAUUGGCUUCGAGCGCAGCAGAAACGCGAACUCGGGCCCGUCGUAUUGGCUCCCAGAAGCUAUCUUCACAAUUUUGACCUCGGAUCAGGUAGGGAUACCCGCUGAACUUAAGCAUAUCAAUAAGCGGAGGA
rnacentral:misc_RNA from 1 species